GUCAUGCCACCGACUAGCUGCUGCUGUAGAGGAUGACGAAGCACGGGAGCACUGCUCUGGGGUUGUACACCAGCAGCUCGACGUCGUCGCCGGUGCCGCCCCCGACACCGCCACGCACGGGGACCAUGGAGUCGUAGGCCACCUUGUCGUCCGCGGGGCCCCGGGCGACGCGUCCCGCCACGACGCGGCACACCAGCAUGGCGCGGCGCACCUGGAGGAAGGCGAACUCGCGCUCCACGUCGGCGGGCAGGGACGCGUGCGCGGUCCACGCGGAGGCGUAGGUGGCGAUGCCGUCCACGUCGGCCUGCUUGCCCGCGAACCCGUGCCGCAGGGUGCUGCACACGCAGCAGUAGGGGCUCCCGCACACGCCGCCGCCCAGGGAGCAGAGCAUGGUGGAGCAGUGGAAGCGCAGGCGCUCGUUGCCGUCCGCGAUGCAGCGCUCCUCCACCACGGCGCCCUCGCCGCCGCAGCGCCGGGCGGCCCGGGCGCGGACCAGGUCGCGGUACUCCUCGAAGCGGGCCAGCGCGCGCGGGUUGUGGUGGAUCCUGAGGACGCGGCGGACCGCGGGGGCCUCGCCGGCACCGGCACCGGCACCGGCACCGGACGCCGCGGGCCUCCACCCGGCGAGGAAGAUCAUGCGGAUGAUGUUGAGGCUGGAGUCCAGGUGGGUGAGCUCCGACAGGGAGUGCUUCAUCGCCUGGUGGAGCUCCAGCAGCUGCGGCCUGCCCAGCACCUCGCCGCACACCUUGCAAGGGAACACGUCGCCGCGGGCGGCGAACGACCGGAACGACUGCCUGCUCGCCUGCAGCAGCUUCUGCUGCGGCGACGACGGGAACGGGGUGGCGCUGAGGGAGCGCACCGAGAGCGGCGACAUCAUCAACGGCGACGACCACGCGCACGGCGACGACGGCGUGGACAGCACCACGGACGUCGACGAAGGCUGAUGCGGCAGCGACUGGGCAAUCGGCGAAGACACGGUGGUGGCCACCGCCUCCUCCUCUCCGUCCCUUCCCGCGACGACGGUGCCGCCAUUCUUGGUCCCGGUCGACCCGGAGCGGAAGAUGCGGUGGAGGUAGAGACGGAGGCUGGCGGCGAGAGACGACACGUGCCUGCGCGGGGCUCCGGCGCUAUCGUCGCUGGCUGUAACGGCAGUGGACGACGCUGCCGGGGAGAAGAUCAACGGCGAUAUCUUCCUCCUCUUGUUGCUCCCACCGCCGCCUCCUACUACCUUGCCGUCGGCUUCCGCUGCUUCGUCCUCCUCCUGCUGCGCCCGCGCGGCAGCGCCGGGCGAGAAGCAGCAGCUGCCGCCGUGGCCAAUGUGGAGGAACAGGAGGAAGAAGAGGGACAGGAAGCCGCGCAGCAGCAGCGAGCCACCACCACCACCACCACUGCCCGCUGCCAUCUCCGUUCGAUCUUUACCGGCCUCAGCGUCGAUCGUCACGGACUCAACUCAGAUCACGUCUGCGCGGCGCGGCGAGAAGUCGAGAAGCGUAAAGCGAGGAAUCCUCUGACAGGCGAGCGGAGGAAGCAAAGCUGGAGCCGGCCGGGAAGUGAUGGAAUGACGGAGGUGGAAAGCGCAGGGGGAAAGAAGGCAGGGUGCUUAAAAGAGGAGAAGGGUGUUGUGCUAUGUACUAUGUGCUGGUUGGGUACGGAAGCCGAGUGCAAAAAGGAAAUCCGGCGGCGUGACAGCAACAGGGUGUCUAUACGCACUACUCCUACGCAGACGCAGGAAGGGCAAACCGGCAAAGCAUGCAGCUACUGCUGCUGCGGCCAUGAUCUUUCAGCGCCAUGCAUGCAUCGUCACACUCACACCGAGGACGCUGUAGACUUGCAUUGCAUAGGCGGGGGGAGAGGGGAAUGACGCGCACGCCAUUGCCAUGGGUGUGGACAAGCUACCGGCC
rnacentral:misc_RNA from 1 species